rnacentral:lncRNA from 1 species
GGAUGAGAAGCAUACAUAAUCAAUCACACAGAUAUAUCCUCUUACAUUCACACAAUCAUCAAUAAACUUUCAUUCACUACAAUGCCUUCUACAACUUUCACUGUUCGUCCAAAUGCUGGGUUUAGCCUAGCAGAUCUACCCAACUUACAACCAGGAGACAACCUACACAUCAAAGGCCUUCAGAAUUUGAGAAAUGGAGGGGAUGUUAGAGAACCUAACUUAAGUAGUAUGCGAUUAAAUCGCUUACACUUGGCUUGGGAUCGCAAUACCAAUUCUACCAAUUCUGCUGAGGAAGUUCUCGGAGCCCUUAGGCCUCAUAGAGAUCUCACGGGUUUCAGGUUGAGCGGUUACCGGGGAAUGAAUAUUCCAAACUGGAUGACAGAUAUUUCUAUUUUGGGACGUUUGGUUGAUGUUAAACUCAUGAAUUGCAUAAACUGUAGCCAACUUCCUCCACUUGGUAAAUUACCUUUUUUAAACACUCUUUAUCUAUCUCAAAUGACAAAUGUGAAGUACAUUGAUGAUUCACCUUAUGAAAUUUCAACCGAAAAUGCUUUUCCGUCAUUAACGGAAAUGACACUAUUUGAUUUACCUAAUUUAGAGAGGGUGUUGAGAAUCGAAGGAGUAGAGAUGCUAUCACAACUUUCUAAGUUAAGCAUUCAGAGUAUCCCUCAAUUUGAACUUCCAAGCCUUCCCUCUGUUAAGGAAGUUUAUGUUGGAGGAGAAACUGAAGAGGAUAUUGAUCAUGAAGCAUCUUUCCUGAGAGAUAUUGCAGGUAAGAUGCCUAACCUCAAAGAACUUAUGAUUGACGCCUUUCAUCAACUCACGGUACUACCUAAUGAACUCAGCUCUCUCCGUUCCCUAGAAGAACUAUACAUAAUAGAUUGUAAUAAGCUUGAGUCCAUUCCUAAUAAUGUAUUUUAUGGUUUGAUUUCUCUUCGAAUUUUGAGCUUUGUAAUCUGCCAUAGCUUAAAUUCCUUGCCCCAAAGUGUGACAACCCUAACUAGUCUUCAGAGACUUAUAAUACACUAUUGUCCCGAACUCAUUUUACCAGCUAAUAUGAACAUGUUAAAUUCCCUUCGUGAAGUGAGUAUCAUGGGUGGGGAUAGAAGGCGCGGGAUAUAUAACGGCUUAGAAGACAUUCCCUUGCUGCAAAAUUUGUCUCUGAGAGAUUUUCCUUCUCUUAGAUCUUUGCCAGACUGGUUGGGAGACACGCUAUCUCUUCAGGAAUUAGAAAUUAGUAAGUUUCCUAAGUUAACCUCGUUACCAGACAACUUUGACCAACUCGAAAACUUGCAGAAACUAUGUAUUGAUAGAUGUCCUAGGCUUGUGAACCGACUCGCAAGAAGAACAGGUGAAGAUUGGUAUAAGAUAGCUCAUGUUCCUAUAUUGAGUUUGAGAUUGGAAUCAGAUGUUGUGCAUCCAAUUAACGGUAAUUUAAAGAUUUUGCUAUAAUUUAGUAAAUAAGUUACGUUUUUUACUAAAGCCAGUAUUCUCAUAAAAUUCUUGAUGUUUUCUAACACAUUGAAUUGUUAUGUGCAGAAGAAGAGUAUAGCAAUUCAGACAAUGAAUUGGACAUGGAGGUUGAUGAGCCAUGAGUGAUGAACAUGUAUAUGAUUCAAAUCAUUGCAAAAUAUUUUGGAUUUGAUUUAAAUCAUUGAUGGUUAAAUCCUCUCUCGUUUGUUUGGAGUUGUAGAGGAUUUUAUUGGAUUCCUGUUGUUGUUUUCAAUUUGGUUUGAUGGUUUGUGUAUUUUGCACUUUUCUUAUUUGGUUUGUUGUUGACUGUUUUUUCAUUUUGUUUGGUUUGAUAUCCGUAUUAAGAGAUUGGGUUGUAUUUUGUGUGGAUUUUUUAGAUUUUUCUAUAUAUAUUUAUGAUAUGUUGUUUGGUUUCUUAAAUGUAAUAUCCGAAAGCUUAAAUAUAGGAUUUUUAAGAAAAUCGUUCAAAAGCUAUUAAUAAUAGAGAUUAAUUGGAAUAGACUGGCAAACAAGUUUACACUGUUAACCAUUUAAAAUCAUCUAAUUAAACACCUUAUCUUUUUUUUAAGGAAAUUAAACACCUUAUCUUAAGGUAUAAACAAAGAAAAAAUCUGAACGCAAAAUUUUGUGAAAACCUACCGAUACCAUCCACCUCCGGUCUCUUUUCCUUUAUCUCUUUUGUGAGCCGUCACCAAAACCCUAGUUUCUUCUCCUUCAUCCACCAAAGAGGGGUGAUUUAGGGUCAAUUUUUGACCCGAAAUCACCCCUCUAACUCGUUUUUCACUUUCACUUUCAUUGAAAUAAGUGAUUUUCACAUCUAUUUCGUUUUUUAUUUUGUGAUUUCGUCGUCUUCGUGCGACGUUGGUUGUUCAUCGUCCUUGUGCGACGUUGUUUGUUUUUCUGUUUCUCUCAUGUAUUUGAUCUGUUCAGAUUGUCAGAUCAGUUUCAAUACAGUGCAGAUCCAAUCAAUGACUUGGCGUCAUCCACGUUGCAGAUCCGGAAAGAUGAUUAUUCCGGAUAUUUAAAUAUAGUCAUAUGUGUAGGCAUUUGUACUUUGCCGUUUUAUGCUAUUAACAUGGAUGUUGUGAGCCUGUUCACCACAGAUUCAUUCUUUUUGUUUUUAGCGAAUUUGCAUUAUAUCGAUGUACUAUUUCAAUUUGAAUGAAUGAAUUUAUUUUAUUUUGUCAAAAAAAAAAAACAGAGAAAAAAUCUAAUAAAAUCUUACAAUAAAUUCACUCAACCCACGUUUUUUUUUUGGUCAAGUAGCCUAGUGGUUAGAGCUAACACAUAUGAAUGUGGAGAAAUGGAGUGUCCGGGGUUCGAACCCCGACCCCUGCAUAUAAUAUGCAAUAUCCUUAUCAACAGAGCUAAUUUUGACAUUUGAUUUUUUAGUUUACAGUCUGCAUCACACAUAGUGCAUCCUUCUCCCAAUAAAUCAAGUUUUGCAAUUGCACUGUUAAGACAUUGAAUCACAAAAUCAUGUUACUUCAAACGGAGCAACUCGUAAUUGUCACAAGUUUGAUUUUUUGGUAUUCUUUGUAGAUAUGUCUUAACUGUAUUCCUUAAGAAAAAUGUUUAUUCUCUCCAAUCACGGUAUGUUUCCACAGAGAUGGACCCUUGAAAACUAGGAAUCAAAUGUAAAAAUUAGAAACGUGGGUUGAACGCAUUUAUUAUAAAAAUUUUAUUUGAUUUUUCUUUUUUUAACACUUAAGAGGAGGUGUUUAAUUGGAUAAUUUUUAUUGGUUGAUAGUGUAAACUUGUUUUAGAAUGUGGGUCUAUUCCAAUUAAUCUCAAUUGGAUUUAUAUUGGUAUCCUAAAAAUAUGUUGUUUAAGGAGACUGUACUUUUUCUUUAGGGGAAAAAGGAGACCAUAUUUGUUAUACACAUGAAACCCAUAAUCAUUCCAUCCAAUUUUUUGUUUUGUUUUGUUUAAUUCGUGUUUUUUUACUUUAUCAAAGUAGUGAGAACAAGUUCAAUACAUAUGUAGGGACCUAAAACAAGAUAUGCUAUUCACCUUUAUCUAUCUAUCUGCCCAAAAUUUUAAUAUUAUGUGAUCAUAUUUAAAAUUCUUAAACGCCAGUCAUUAAUAUUCAUUUUAGAUUAUUUUUAGGACAUUGAUGAGUCUAUGAUGUUUUUCAAAGCAAAAAUCACUGAUCAGAAGCAGAUAGAGUACAGUUUCUGAAGUGAUGUUCAGAUUCUAAAUGCAAUUAUACAUAUUCUUCCACAAAUCGGAAGUCAGUCAUGUCCCCCUUGCAUUUCUAAGGAGAGUUUACUAAAAUGUAAUAUCUGAUUACGACUACUCACUGCUAAAACUAGCAAGAGACUUCAAACUACUCAAGCACAACUGCAAGAGAUUUCCUAUGCUCCUGAACACAAUCAAGAGACUUCUUAUGCUCAAGCACAACUGCAAGAGACUUCUAUUCAAACAUAAUUUCAAAGAAAAAUGUUUGAGGUUGAACACUUGAUAUACAAUUAGUCGUGUUCACAAUAUAAAUCACAUACAGUCUCUUAAGACUAUAGAAUUUCUAAGAUAUGAAAGUUUGAUAAGAAAUUCUAAGUGAACUUUUGAUGCAUAACAAUUUCAGCGGAGUUUUGGCGCUUGUAAAUUGUUGUAGAGUCUUGCCAUCCUCUAAGUCUUCACUCCUUUACAUAGAGGUGUGAAAGAGAUGUUGUGAAUUGCCAGCACAUCAAAAAGUGUCGUUUGAAACUUUGAUUAAUAAUCAAUGAUCUUUUGCCUUAUAUGGUUAUUGUUCUAUGAAAGAUCAAUUUCAAAUCCAUUCAAAGUAUGAAGGAACAUCGUUGUAGGCAUAGUUGUUAUCCUUAGAGUGUGCUACUCCUCUAGUCUCAAGUUCGAUUCUUCUUAGUACCAAUUUAACAUAAAAAAAAAAAAAAAAAAAAAACAUAUCUUGUAAUAGAACAACUAACAACGUACACUUUUUCAAAGUUAAAAACAUACGACACUCUUUGUCCUGUUUAGUUAUCUUGUGGGUGUAAUGAUUUAGUUCUGAAUGUGGAAAUUGCUUUAGUUAUUUUUAAUUAAAAACUAUUUCUUCUUGGUCAUUUUUUAACAUUUCCUUGGUCAUUCUUUAAUAUAUAAUGAGAAAAUUGCAUUUAACUAAUUUAUAUUGGUGACUUGAAAAUAUGUUGUUUAAGGAGACCAUACUUGUUAUUGGUAGUUUCACACACUUGUUUACACCACUUUGUUAACUUUCUAUGCUAAUUGGAAUUGCAAUAAUUAUAGGGGGGUGGUUUGCCAUUUUUUAAUUAGGGGGUCAAAAUCGCAAUAUUUUAAAACUUAGGGGACAAAAUAUAAUGUGAUUAUCGUUGACUAUAAUUUAAUCGUUGACUAUCCAGGAGGAUUAUCAACUUCAUCAGAUUAUGAUGCAAUUUGCUAUAAAGGGCAAAUCCGGUGCACUAAAGCUCCCACAUAUGUAGGGUCUAGGAAGGAGGUCCUACCAUUUUUAGUGUAUUGUAUACAAUUUACUAUAUUAUUAGAAUUUAGAAGCAACACGUUAACUAUUAGUUAGGGUAUUUAAGUUCUAUAAAUAGGAUUGUUGAAAAUAUGGAGCAUUGAAAUAUCAUUAUUUUUUCUUCAAACUUUUAUGAUACAUAAUUUAAUGAAAAGACAUUCUCGUUAUUUUUUAUGUUCUCGUUAUCAUCCACAUGGUUAGUGGGUUGGUAAUGGCAUACCAAUAAUAUGAUUGUUUAGUAGAGGCAGCCAAGUAUAUAAAGGGAUGAGAAGCAUACAUAAUCAAUCACACAGAUAUAUCCUCUUACAUUCACACAAUCAUCAAUAAACUUUCAUUCACUACAAUGCCUUCUACAACUUUCACUGUUCGUCCAAAUGCUGGGUUUAGCCUAGCAGAUCUACCCAACUUACAACCAGGAGACAACCUACACAUCAAAGGCCUUCAGAAUUUGAGAAAUGGAGGGGAUGUUAGAGAACCUAACUUAAGUAGUAUGCGAUUAAAUCGCUUACACUUGACCUGGGCUCGCAAUACCAAUUCUGCUGAGGAAGUUCUCGAAGCCCUUAGGCCUCAUGAAGGUCUCAAGGGUUUCGGGUUGAGCCGUUACGGCGGAAUGAAUAUUCCAAAC